rnacentral:rRNA from 1 species
GAAAGAUUCAUCGGAAGAGGAUGGGCAUGCGGCGCAUUAGCUUGACGGCGGGGUAACGGCCCACCGUGGCGACGAUGCGUAGGGGUUCUGAGAGGAAGGUCCCCCACACUGGUACUGAGACACGGACCAGACUCCUACGGGAGGCAGCAGUGAGGAAUAUUGGUCAAUGGGAGAGAUCCUGAACCAGCCAAGCCGCGUGAGGGAAGACGGCCCUAUGGGUUGUAAACCUCUUUUGUCGGAGAACAAAACCCGGGACGUGUCCCGGACUGCGUGUAUCCGAAGAAAAAGCAUCGGCUAACUCCGUGCCAGCAGCCGCGGUAAUACGGAGGAUGCGAGCGUUAUCCGGAUUUAUUGGGUUUAAAGGGUGCGUAGGCGGUCCGUUAAGUCAGCGGUAAAAUUGCGGGGCUCAACCCCGUCGAGCCGUUGAAACUGGCAGACUUGAGUUGGCGAGAAGUACGCGGAAUGCGCGGUGUAGCGGUGAAAUGCAUAGAUAUCGCGCAGAACUCCGAUUGCGAAGGCAGCGUACCGGCGCCAGACUGACGCUGAGGCACGAAAGCGUGGGGAUCGAACAGGAUUAGAUACCCUGGUAGUCCACGCAGUAAACGAUGAAUGCU